GUGCUCAUUUUGGUAGCACAUACACAAAAACUGGAACAAUACAAAGAUUAACAUGGCCCCUGUGCAAGGAUGACACAAAAAUUUGUGAAGCAGUCCAUAUUUGG
rnacentral:snRNA from 1 species